UACGUAGGGGGCAAGCGUUGUCCGGAAUCAUUGGGCGUAAAGAGCGUGUAGGCGGCCCGGUAAGUCCGCUGUGAAAGUCCAGGGCUCAACCCUGGGAUGCCGGUGGAUACUGUCGGGCUCGAGUCCGGAAGAGGAGUGUGGAAUUCCAGGUGUAGCGGUGAAAUGCGUAGAUAUCUGGAAGAACACCGGUGGCGCAAGCGGAUUGCUGGGCCAUAACUGACACUGAGGAACGAAAGCUAGGGGAGCGAAUGGG
rnacentral:rRNA from 1 species